rnacentral:rRNA from 1 species
GCCAGCCCGCUCAGAAACUUAAAUGAAUUGACGGGGGCCCGCACAAGCGGAGGAGCAUGUGGUUUUAAUUCGAUGAUACGCGAGGAACCUUACCUGGGCUUAAAUGCUUAAUGACGUACUGGGAAACUGGUAUUUCUUCGGACAUUUUGCAAGGUGCUGCAUGGUUGUCGUCAGCUCGUGCCGUGAGGUGUCGGGUUAAGUCCCAUAACGAGCGCAACCCCUAUUGUUAGUUGCCAUCAGGUCAUGCUGGGGACUCUAACAAAACUGCCCGCGUAAGCGUGGAGGAAGGUGGGGAUGACGUCAAAUCAGCACGGCCCUUACGUCCAGGGCUACACACGUGCUACAAUGGCCGGUACAGAGGGCAGCCACUUGGUGACAAGGAGCAAAUCUCAAAAGCCGGUCUCAGUUCGGAUCGGAGUCUGCAACUCGACUCCGUGAAGUUGGAUUCGCUAGUAAUCGUAGAUCAGCAAUGCUACGGUGAAUACGUUCCCGGGCCUU